rnacentral:rRNA from 1 species
AAGCGGCGACGUGGAGCAAAUCUCAGAAAACCGGUCGUAGUCCGGAUCGCAGUCUGCAACUCGACUGCGUGAAGUCGGAAUCGCUAGUAAUCGCGAAUCAGAAUGUCGCGGUGAAUACGUUCCCGGGCCUUGUACACACCGCCCGUCACACCAUGGGAGUGGGUUGCACCAGAAGUAGCUAGUCUAACCGCAAGGGGGACGGUUACCACGGUGUGAUUCAUGACUGGGGUGAAGUCGUAACAAGGUAGCCCUAGGGGAACCUGGGGCUGGAUCACCUCCUUAAACGAUA